rnacentral:piRNA from 1 species
UAGUUUAGUUCCUCAGCCCCUCCACG